ensembl:lncRNA
CAGGAAGGCAGCAGCAGCAGCACUUCAGCCACUAGCACGAAGUCAACCGCAUCAGAGGACAAUAGUGAGAGUGGCUGUGACUUCACUGUGCAUGUGAAGAAAACGUUUGAGGAGAACUGAACAGUUGGAGUUUGACAUUUGCCACCUGUGGAGUAAAAUGGCAAGAAGAGACAGUGGGACACAGGACAAAGCUGAAGGAGAACUGCCGGCUAUUGGACUGUUGAAGUGGGAGAGGACAACAGAGAGAGAAGACUAGCAAGGAAAUACAGGUGCAGCAGUAAUCUCCUGAGAAAUCUUCAGAGGCCCAGUGAGAAGCGUGAACCAUUCCAGGCAUAGCUGACAGCCAGGCAGUGGUUGAGGUCAAAGGUCAAGCUGGUUGGGGCCCAUCAUGAGAUCAGACCUUGGAGCCACAGCAAGGACCAUGAAACUGCCUGCAAAAUAGAGGAGAGGAUCGUCCACAAGAUGGGAGCUGAGGCCAGGAGAGAGGCUUCAGGAGGAUCAGAGAUCAUCUUCAGCACAGCAGACAUCACACAGAGAGCUGUGCUACUGAGCUUCCAGGAGAUUUUAAAUAAAAUGAAAGAUUCAAUAUUGACGCUGAGGAAGACAACUAAGGUGUACGACGUGCUCUGCCUUAAACCUUCAGCAGCGUUGGAACAUGAAAACUCGUGGGAUGAGGGGAGCGUGCCAAGCUCCAUCGACAGCGCAGAAGGAGUUCGAGGAUGACAUCAUAAUUCUGUGAAAGCACAGGAACCAGAAGCUAUGGUGGUGAUGACAGCAGUUUCCUAUGAACAUCACCUAAUGCUGUGCCACUAUACUGUGCAUACGAUGACACUCUGAAGGCUGCUGGGAUCAUAACAGCAGUAAGACAACUGAACCCUGCACCCUUUCCACAGAGGUGUUUCUCUGCAGAGCGUGGACAAUGAAGGAGUCAUAAAUAUCCCCCUCGCAGGAUGAAGGCCUGAAGUGAGGUAAUGGGAGGCCAUAAAACUAGAGUGCUGAGAGGUCUGCAGCUUUGGAAAUAGCUGAGACCCAUGUUGACAAACAACAAAACUAACUGGUAUGUUUGAAUGUUUAUUCUACAUACAUUUGGACUCUGGUCCUAUGGACAACGAAACAACUAGAAGAGACAUUCAUGACGCCCUGCAGAACUCAAACCACUCUGCAGAGAGACAUGUGAUUUGCACACCCGGAGGAAGCAUCACCAAGCUGAGAUGUUUUUGAAAAUGUUACUUUCUUAGUUUCACUAUUAAAUUAACAAUUUCUUUGGUUGCUCGUAAGAUGCAGUUUGCCAUGAGAUGAGCUCAAUGAAUGGGGUAACUGCUAAUACAUUUAUUAAACUGUGUAACUUUUACAGUAAUUUAGGGUGAUUUGACAUAUGCUGAGUAAAAAAAUGUUUGCAUUGAAACUGUCAGACAUGAGGUAUUCAUAACUGGGAACUUUCUAGCAUAAAGGUCAAAAACGGGGGAAUGUUAGAGUUUGUAUUGUUGAUUGUCAUUUAUGCUUAGAAAUAUUUAACCAUAGAUGCUUAGAGGUGUAUAAUCAAUUGUGUAGUGAUAAGUUGUGUGAUCUUUAACAGGCUACAGAGGCUUGGUGUGCAUUCCACACUAGAAUGCACACCUACAUCCUGGGAGCACGGGAAGAGGUCGCAUCUUGUCUUAAUUGUUUUAUGGUAGGAUUAACGUAGCUACGUCUGUUCUAGUCUAAGUGCUUUUCUGUUUAGAUGAACUGCUGGACUUCCUCACCGGGGGGGGUCUAGUCUACCCUCCUCCUGACCAAGGAUGUUUGACCCUUUGAUCAGCACACACACACACACACACACACACACACACACACACACACACACACACACACGGUACUCUUUGUUUGUAUGUAGACGUCGGUAUGUUAAUGAACCUAUGCAUAUUCAUGUAACCUCAAUAAAAGGACAGUGUUACGGGAGGACGGACGAGAGUCUGACAGUGGUCAAGUGGUGGAACGACGCUUGGCUCCAGCCAGGUCUCCCUCAUGCAUGAGUAAACCAGAGAACUUUGGUGCCUUGAGUCUUGCUUUUGCUGCGUAGCAGAUUGUCCUUAACGUUCCAGCGAAUAGGUUUAUGUUACAAACCUAUCAGUCACAUUACAGCCACAAACAUGAAUCAAUUUUAUUGGAAUUCCACAUGAAAGACCAAUACAAAGUGGUGUACACGUGAGAAG